UACAGAGGAGCCAAGCGUUGUCCGGAUUGACUGGGCGUAAAGCGCACGCAGGCGGUCGCGCGCGUGGGGUGUGAAAUCUGGCCGCUUAACGGCCAGGCGCCAUCCCAUACGGCACGACUGGAGUGAUGCAGAGGUCGAUGGAAUUGCCGGUGUAGUGGUGAAAUGCGUAGAGAUCCGGAGGAACACCAGUGGCGAAGGCGACACGCUGGGCCGUACCUGACGCUAAAGCGCGACAGCAUGGGGAGCAAACGGG
rnacentral:rRNA from 1 species